rnacentral:sRNA from 1 species
UUCCCAACACGCGAACAAGUUUCACGAACUGGCGUAGAGCAUACAACUUAUCAAGGCGGGGCAGUAUGCGACUGCCCCGUCUGGUGAUGACG